AUGGGCAGCGGGAGGCCGGCUGCGUGGCGGACGUGCGCGGCGGCGGCGGUGGCUGCGUGCGCCGUGCCGGUGGCCUUGUCACUGGUGCUGCUCUGGCUGCCCCUGCUUUGCUGCGCCGUGGCCGUGGUCCGGUUCCGGCGGGCGAGGAGGAGGAUGAUGCAGAUGUGCGGCGGCAGCACAAGAGGCGGCGGGCGAUUUGGGGCGGUUGACGCCGGCGAUCGGCUGGGGCUGCUGCAGAAGUACCUCGAGGACCAGCUGGAGCUCGUCGGCGCGGAGGCAGGGGGGCUCCUCCGCGACCUCAGACAAGGGAAGUGCAGCGGUUGA
rnacentral:rRNA from 1 species